GACGAGGGGUCCAAGCGUUGUUCGGAAUCAUUGGGCGUAAAGCGGGUGUAGGUGGCUCUAUAAGUCAGAAGUGAAAGCCCUGGGCUCAACCCAGGAAGUGCUUUUGAUACUGCAGAGCUUGAAUGUGGGAAAGGGUAGUGGAAUUCCAGGUGUAGUGGUGAAAUACGUAGAUAUCAGGAGGAACACCGGUGGCGAAGGCGGUUCUCUGGGCAUUACCUGACGCUGAGGAGCGAAAGUGUGGGGAGCGAACAGG
rnacentral:rRNA from 1 species